rnacentral:rRNA from 1 species
GAGCUACCCCAAACCCCUGUGACAUACCACUUGUUGCCUCGGCGGAUCAGCCCGCUCCCGGUAAAACGGGACGGCCCGCCAGAGGACCCCUAAACUCUGUUUCUAUAUGUAACUUCUGAGUAAAACCAUAAAUAAAUCAAAACUUUCAACAACGGAUCUCUUGGUUCUGGCAUCGAUGAAGAACGCAGCAAAAUGCGAUAAGUAAUGUGAAUUGCAGAAUUCAGUGAAUCAUCGAAUCUUUGAACGCACAUUGCGCCCGCCAGUAUUCUGGCGGGCAUGCCUGUUCGAGCGUCAUUUCAACCCUCAAGCACAGCUUGGUGUUGGGACUCGCGUUAAUUCGCGUUCCUCAAAUUGAUUGGCGGUCACGUCGAGCUUCCAUAGCGUAGUAGUAAAACCCUCGUUACUGGUAAUCGUCGCGGCCACGCCGUUAAACCCCAACUUCUGAAUGUUGACCUCGGAUCAGGUAGGAAUACCCGCUGAACUUAAGCAUAUCAUAAGCCGGGAGGAA